UACGAAGGGGGCUAGCGUUGCUCGGAAUCACUGGGCGUAAAGGGUGCGUAGGCGGGUUUUAAGUCAGGGGUGAAAUCCUGGAGCUCAACUCCAGAACUGCCUUUGAUACUGAAGAUCUUGAGUCCGGGAGAGGUGAGUGGAACUGCGAGUGUAGAGGUGAAAUUCGUAGAUAUUCGCAAGAACACCAGUGGCGAAGGCGGCUCACUGGCCCGGUAUUGACGCUGAGGUGCGAAAGCGUGGGGAGCAAACAGG
rnacentral:rRNA from 1 species